UAGACUAAGGCCGAAGUAGAGGCAUCUAAUUGUUAACUAGAAGAUUGUGAUUGUUCACUAGUCUAG
rnacentral:tRNA from 1 species